CCUACGGGGGGCAGCAGUGAGGAAUAUUGGUCAAUGGGCGCGAGCCUGAACCAGCCAAGUCGCGUGAGGGAAGACGGUCCUAUGGAUUGUAAACCUCUUUUGUCGGGGAGCAAAAGACGCCACGCGUGGCGUUCCGAGAGUACCCGAAGAAAAAGCAUCGGCUAACUCCGUGCCAGCAGCCGCGGUAAUACGGAGGAUGCGAGCGUUAUCCGGAUUUAUUGGGUUUAAAGGGUGCGUAGGCGGAUUUUUAAGUCAGCGGUAAAAUGUCCGGGCUCAACCCGGGCCGGCCGUUGAAACUGGGGAUCUGGAGUGGGCGAGAAGUAUGCGGAAUGCGGGGUGUAGCGGUGAAAUGCAUAGAUAUCACGCAGAACUCCGAUUGCGAAGGCAGCCUGCCAAGCCAUGACUGACGCUGAUGCACGAAAGCGUGGGGAUCAAACAGGAUUAGAUACCCCUGUAGUC
rnacentral:rRNA from 1 species